UGCAAAUACACGUAGGUAGGUAUAUUAUUCAUAUAUAUAUAUGUACGUGUGCUGUACGAACACUGCAAUAUUAUUUGUGAUAAAUGAAUAAUGACGAAUACAUCGCAGAAAAACGAGAAGACUUAUUUAACGAUUUAAAUAAAUCGCAUAUUUAAUUUGCGAUUUAUUAUUAUAGUAUAUGAUGUAUUAUAUACUUUCAAGUGGUUCGUCAACAGCACGUCGCGGUUAUAGUCCGACCGCAGUGUCUUUAUAGUCCGUACAGUACUUCAGUGUCCUGUAUAAACUAUGUGUGAUGUAUACGAACACUCGAAAUACUCAGUACAACCAGUGGUGGUUUCAGACAUUAAUAAAACAAGGCUAAGACACGGCAUAUAUUGUGGUCAUCUUUAAAUUAAUGUACGUUAGAGCUAUACUAUGAUUAUUGCAGUAAUACAAGCGAUUCAUCACCGUUUUAUAAAUCAACUGUGAAGCGAAGGGCAGCUAUAGACGUUUUAAAAACGUACGAUCAGAUCCUGGAAUAUCACACCUAUAUCUGUCAGUAUCCGCCCUCGUCAUAUAUAACGCUAUUGAAACGACCAAGACCAAUGUAAAUUCCAGAUAUAUUUAUAACAUCAAAAUGAGAGGCAAUAUACAAUCGUAAAUUAUCUGAACAAAUAAUCACUUUAACAUAGCAGCCAGCAGAACGCAAUGUUGACUAAAUAGCAUACAUUAUUUGGCACCAGAGGUGUCCAGCUUUCUGUGAAGACUGGGCCACACCAUGUGAGUAGAAGUUGUUGUGGAUCACAUACCUUAUAAUAACAAUACAUUAAAAUUUAAUGAUUAAAUUAUAAUUCAACAAUAUUUAUAAUUUUAGCAUAGCGAUUAUCUGUGCUUUAUAAUGAUAAUUAUAUUUAUUUUUAUAUGAUGAUAACACGACAUGGGAUAAACGCCAUUAACAUAUCUUCAAUAAUGGCAUAAUAUAAUAAUUUAUUGAAAUCGAACCACGGACCAAGUUGAUCGUCUGUACCAGUAUCGAUAAUAAUCAAUUUGUAUUCAGCACCCGUGUCCGACACAACAAAGUAAUAUUACGUACAAAUAAUUAGUGAUUUUGAAAUCGAAGUGAGGGCCGCAUGUGGACGAAUACCAUUAUUUCGGUUUGUUAAAAUAUCGAGAAUAUACGGAUAAAUAACAUUGAUGUACCCGAAUUGCCUAUCCAUAACGCCGCGUGAUCAUAAUUGGAUUACUCAACUAAUUUAUCAACGAGUAGUAUCGGUACAUUGCGUGUGGGCACGUGUUAUCACGUCAGGAUUUAUGAAUCUUUUCGUUGCCAGCGAAUUUUUCCAACAUGUAGUGAAAUCUAUGUUAUGAAAGAGGGAGAGAGAUAUCCGAUGUUUCACGGUAAUAUUAAUAUGGAGGCGUUGGAACUAGGAUUAUUCAUCAAACUUUAAAAUAGACCACCGCUAGCGUGUCUCGUGGGAUAUUCUUUCACGCCACUUAUGUUGCGUGGACUAUUCAUGGAUAAUUAUAUGUAACAUAAUAUUAACAUUUUUUUAAAGUUUAUAUUCUGCAAAAUUUGUAAUCGUUA